UAGGGAAUCUUCCGCAAUGGACGAAAGUCUGACGGAGAAACGCCGCGUGAGUGAAGAAGGAUUUCGGUUCGUAAAACUCUGUUGUUAGGGAAGAAAAAAUGUAUAGUAACUAUAUACAAAAGAGACGGUACCUAACCAGAAAGCCACGGCUAACUACGUGCCAGCAGCCGCGGUAAUACGUAGGUGGCAAGCGUUGUCCGGAAUUAUUGGGCGUAAAGCGCGCGCAGGUGGUUUAGAAAGUCUGAUGUGAAAGCCCACGGCUCAACCGUGGAGGGUCAUUGGAAACUAAUAAACUUGAGUGCAGGAGAGAAAAGUGGAAUUCCUAGUGUAGCGGUGAAAUGCGUAGAGAUUAGGAGGAACACCGGUGGCGAAAGCGGCUUUUUGGCCUGCAACUGACACUGAGGCGCGAAAGCGUGGGGAGCAAACAGG
rnacentral:rRNA from 1 species